ensembl:lncRNA
UGGAGAAAGCAAUAAUUAUAGAUAGAGUACUUAUAUUUUGACCAGAAGUGACGGUUUAAAGUUAAAAUGCCUUAAUGAUGGAUUUGUUAUACACAUAGUUUUUCACUUCAUAAGAUGUUAAUUGUGGAUUGCUUGUAGAUUAUUGUGAUGUUUUUAUCAGCUGUUUGGACUCUCAUUCUGACGGCACCCAUUCACUGCAGAGGAUCCAUUGGUGAGUAAUGUAACACUAAAUAUCUCCAAUUCUGUUGUGAUGAAGAAACAAGCUCAUCUACAUGUUGGAUGGCCCGAGGGUUCAGAAUGAAUGAGGAGGAAAAUGUGCAAUAUCAUCAGUCACUAAUAUUCAUGCAAUUGGCAUGAGAUUUCCAAAACACGCCGAAAAUAUAUCAGGGAGCAUGGAGGUGUAUUUUACUCCAUAUCUGUCUUCACAAACAGGGAGGUAAAUCCAGAUAAAACCAGGAUCUUCAAAAAUACCAACGGGUAAUACCGAGGUGGAACAUGUCACAGGCUGGUGCUACAGUGAAUCCACCACCCAAGGCAUUUCAGCAUUCAUGCUUCCCUCACACCUUCGUGGGCUCUUUUCUGCAAAAGAGCCAUCUACACAUAUCUAUAUUGUGUAUAUGUUUUGCUGUUUAUCCGUUGAAGCUUGAUUGACACAAGCUUGUUACUCAGAGGCAUGUUACAAGGC